AUUGAACGCUGGCGGCAGGCUUAACACAUGCAAGUCGAGCGGGGUGAUGGUGCUUGCACUAUCACUUAGCGGCGGACGGGUGAGUAAUGCUUAGGAAUCUGCCUAUUAGUGGGGGACAACAUCUCGAAAGGGAUGCUAAUACCGCAUACGUCCUACGGGAGAAAGCAGGGGAUCACUUGUGACCUUGCGCUAAUAGAUGAGCCUAAGUCGGAUUAGCUAGUUGGUGGGGUAAAGGCCUACCAAGGCGACGAUCUGUAGCGGGUCUGAGAGGAUGAUCCGCCACACUGGGACUGGAACACGGCCCAGACUCCUACGGGAGGCAGCAGUGGGGAAUAUUUGACAAUGGGGGGAACCCUGAUCCAGCCAUGCCGCGUGUGUGAAGAAGGCCUUAUGGUUGUAAAGCACUUUAAGCGAGGAGGAGGCUCUUUUGGUUAAUACCCAAGAUGAGUGGACGUUACUCGCAGAAUAAGCACCGGCUAACUCUGUGCCAGCCGCCGCCGUAAUAC
rnacentral:rRNA from 1 species